UACAGAGGUCUCGAGCGUUAGGCGGAAUCACUGGGCUUAAAGCGUGUGUAGGUGGAUGCCUAAGUACCUUGUGAAAUCUCCCGGCUCAACUGGGAGGGUGCGCCGAAUACUGAGAGGCUAGAGUGUGGGAGAGGAAAGUGGAAUUCCUGGUGUAGCGGUGAAAUGCGUAGAUAUCGGAAGGAACACCUGUGGCGAAAGCGGCUCACUGGACCAUUACUGACGCUGAGGCACGAAAGCUAGGGGAGCAAACAGG
rnacentral:rRNA from 1 species